GCACAAGGAUGAAGUAUAGCACUGGGCGCUGAAUAUCAAUGAGCCGAUAACGCUUAAGGGGGGCCUCAGAAACCCACCCGCGACUGAAUGC
rnacentral:snoRNA from 1 species